rnacentral:rRNA from 1 species
AGUGAACGCUGGCGGUAGGCCUAACACAUGCAAGUCGAACGGCAGCACAGUAAGAGCUUGCUCUUACGGGUGGCGAGUGGCGGACGGGUGAGGAAUACAUCGGAAUCUACUUUUUCGUGGGGGAUAACGUAGGGAAACUUACGCUAAUACCGCAUACGACCUACGGGUGAAAGCAGGGGAUCUUCGGACCUUGCGCGAUUGAAUGAGCCGAUGUCGGAUUAGCUAGUUGGCGGGGUAAAGGCCCACCAAGGCGACGAUCCGUAGCUGGUCUGAGAGGAUGAUCAGCCACACUGGAUCUGAGACACGGUCCAGACUCCUACGGGAGGCAGCAGUGGGGAAUAUUGGACAAUGGGCGCAAGCCUGAUCCAGCCAUACCGCGUGGGUGAAGAAGGCCUUCGGGUUGUAAAGCCCUUUUGUUGGGAAAGAAAAGCAGCAGGUUAAUACCCCGCUGUUCCGACGGUACCCAAAGAAUAAGCACCGGCUAACUUCGUG